AGUGCUUUAAAUUCUUUACCAUAUAUAUUUACUGUUUCCAAAACAAAAUAGUGAGCUUCUUGGGAGUAUAAACUAUAUUUUUCCACGAGUCAAUAUUCCUAAUUCAAUUCCUCUUAACAAAUGCUACCUACUCACUAAUAUAUAAGGCCACUGUCUUUAAGUCCCUGAUAAAUAUAUUCUAUAUGAGGAGGGAACUAAAGAUUCCUAUUUUUUCCCACUGAGAUCCAGAAUUAAACAGUCAACAGACCAAAGUAGACCUCUGUAAUUCAAAUGUCACACUGCAAUUUCAAAUUGGCAGCCUUCCUUGAGUUUCAUUUUACUUGCCAAGGAAACAAUGAAGCGCUUAUUCUGAUGCCAGCAGAACUGUGGGAAGGGACAGAGAGAUUUGUAUUUCCCUGAAUUUAUAAUCUGCAGAAGAGAACAACUACAGGAACCAAAGUGGCACAUGUUAUACGAUUACUUUAAUAAUUCUAUAAUUCUACAACUAAUUGAAUCUUGGAAAAUACAAAGUGAUGCAUAUGAUUGCAAAAAUGCUAACCAGGAGUUAUAGAAAUGAAAAGAGAGAAUAAGUCUACUCCUUUCCUCACGGCUGUCUGGUGGUUCGUGGCAGCAAUUCUUUCUGACAAAGUCCUGCAACACCAGGACUCAGAGUUAUGACUAAAAAGAGGUCAUGUCAAUGUGAGUGACCAAAUUCUUACUGCUAAAGUCCAAAGAUUUUCAAGGAAUGAAGCAAUUCAAGCAAGCAACUCCCCUCUGUCAAUGUGACAAGUUCCAAGUUAGAAUCAACCUUGGAUGAUUUGACCCAAACCAGAAGCUAUCUAUCCUUCAGUAGACAAUGCUGAUCUAAGCGCUGGCUCUGGAAAUUAGUUGGAUGAACUCGGUUGUCUUGCAUUUAAUUAGAGGUUUUCCUGGCUGGCCCAGGGAAUGUCACAGGGGAUAUUGUGAAAUAAAAAUUAUUCUAACUUUGAAAUCACAAGAUGAUUCCAUAAAUGAUAAGAAAAGUGAGAAGCCAAGUGAUUGAUUACACAAUUCAGAAUUAACAAUGAUGUGUAAAUCAAUACAUUGUUCAAUUACAUAUAAAAUUAACUCAGUUAUUCAAGGACCAUUUACCCACUGGAUAACCAAUAUUGGUCCUUCUCACCUUCAUUAUGUCUGUUGACCAUUUUACUUUUCAUUAACAAAGAGGGAGAGAGUAAAUAAAAAAUAGGGGCAUACCACUUAAAUUGAUUUAACACUAUUUGGUACUAUUAGUAAAAAAAUUAAAUCAAGGAGAUAAAAUAUUUACGCAAGAGUGGAUUUUCAUUAUUUGUACAGCUUCAUUUCUCCUAUGCACAGAAAAUUAACAGUUGGUUUUAACUGAGCAUGUUUUGGCAACACACAAGAAAGGGAGAAUUAUAAGUCAGAGAGGAGCAUGAGAAAGAGACAAAGAAAAAGACUCCUUGACCUUUUCAGUAAAGUGAAGGUUACUUGGAAUAACAUAGUAGCAAGCAUCUGAUUUCUAUUUCUACAACUUGAAGACAAAAGAAAAAGUUUAACCUAGAGGUAAACUCUAAUUUAAAAAACAAAAUCAUAUACUCAAUUAUUCUUCUCUAAAGUCCUGUCUUCACAGGAUACUUAGGGAUUAUCUACCUAGAAUAAGAUUAAUUCUUCAAGCACUUGAUUCCCCCAUUAUUAGAAAUACGGAAUAAAGAAUCACAUAACCUAAGUAUUACAAGAAACUCCAUCACUCGAAACAGGAAUCCUCCUUCCAACAUCUCUUGUUCCCCAGUUAUUCUGUGUGUGCCUGAACAAAGACAGACCCAUCAGCCCACUCCAUUCAAAAACAGCAAAGUGUUGUAAAAAGUCCCAACUUUGGAGACAGGAAGACUCUAUUCCCAUACUAAAUCUGCCAACUACUGGCUGUAUGACUAGAAAAAGCCUCAUUUGCUUUGUUUGCCUCAUUUUUAGAAAAAAAAAGUCUCUUCUGUGUGCUGUAAAGAUUAUAUGAAAUCAUCCAGGGAAAUGCACCUUGCAAAG